CGCCAUAUUCAUAAUAUGACUCAUGAGAACCACAUGGCAUGUCCUCAGGAGGUGGUCCUUACCUUAAGCCUUGUUUUGGUUGGACACUCUUGCUCUACGUACCUAAUGGAAAAAAUGUUAUUCCAAUCGAAUGACGACUCGUGUGGUGUAUUUGAUGUGCAGUAUUACAAAAACAAUGCGGUAAAUGGACCAUCAGGCAUACCAUUCUGGGGAAUUUUAGCACUGGAACGUCGUGAUGCGAUAUCAGCUCGUUAUUACCCCACCAGGAACUCUGC